rnacentral:rRNA from 1 species
AUUGAACGCUGGCGGCAGGCCUAACACAUGCAAGUCGAACGAGUGGCGGACUGGUGAGUAAUGUCUGGGAAACUGCCUGAUGGAGGGGGCUAACUACUGGAAACGGUAGCUAAUACCGCAUACCAUCAGAUGUGCCCCGAUGGGAUUAGCUAGUUGGUGGGGUAACGGCUCACCAAGGCGACGAUCCCUAGCUGGUCUGAGAGGAUGACCGGCCACACUGGAACUGAGACACGGUCCAGACUCCUACGGGAGGCAGCAGUGGGGAAUAUUGGACAAUGGGCGAAAGCCUGAUGGAGCCAUGCCGCGUGUAUGAAGAAGGUCUUCGGGUUGUAAAGCACUUUCAUCGGGGAGGCGUUACCCACAGAAGAAGCACCGGCUAACUCCGUGCCAGCAGCCGCGGUAAUUC